UAUAUAUAUAUAAUUUUAUAAUAAUAAAAAUAGUAAUAAUAAAAUAAGAAGUGAAAUACUUUACAAUUACAUGUUGUCACUCAUUGCAUGGAACACCUUAAUGUGCACUCCAGUUUAUCGAAUAAAUUAAAGAUUUCAUGCACUGAUUUGUUUGACUUAUUUCGCAAUCAAUGCGAAGCAAUACGUUUUUGCGUCUACAGUUGCCCAAGCAACCUAUGGCAGCUAUGGUGACGUGUUUCAAUGUUUCAAUGGGUGGUGGUUCUUGACCUGCAGUUUGUUUUGUCAAUGUAAGUCACAUGCGUAAGUCACAUUUAGAAAUUAAGUCAUUGGCAUAUUGUAAACACUGGACUGGACUAGGUUUGGAAUGGACUCUGGACUUAAAAUUUCGUUCUAAAAACACUGCGCGAAAUAAAUAACUACAAACAGUACAUGAACCUUCAGAGUACUGCCUCUAUAAUCAUUCAUAUAUACAGGGUGUCCCCCAAAAAAGUGAAACUAUAGAAAUUAUCAACGCGCGUGAUUACACGCCUGGGAAUUUAAUGAACUUGUAUUUACAUUUAAG